CGGUGAUCUCAAUGGCGGGCAGUGGCUGGAUCUCGGCGAACGUGGUCAUGGUGGUGGGCAGCUGGAUCUCUUUGGGGAUCAGGACCUUGAAAUGAGGAAGCAGAUGGCCAGGAGGAAGGAUGCUAAACAUGAGAAUCUUCAAAAGAAUGUGAGCUCUAUGAAGCCAUGAUAUUAGACUGUUUUCUUCACUGCCGUCUUUCCGGUGCCUGUGACAUUGCCGAGCUUAUUACAGAUAUACAGAGAGUGGCAAAAGAGUUGAUUCUUCUGAUGUGCAUAUACCCGGCUGAGGCUGAACAAGGUAUGAAAUGAACGCAUCGAGAGAGAAGAUCAGUAAAUAAUUGACCAACUCUUCGUAGAAAGGACUAUUCCAGAUACUCUGUGGAGACUGUACUACAGGGAAUCAAGAACGUGAUUAGAGAGUUCAUUUGGGAACCUAAUACAGUAGUCCAGCUUGGUGAGAUCAAAGUCCUGUGUAUUGGGUUUGCUCGAAGUGAAUUGGACCUAUUAAACACAUUUAAUCCACCAUACUUCUGUAGCGUAUAGGAAGACUCUGGUUUGAACUUGUGGAGCAGGAGAGAAGAACACCACAAGCACAGCAGCUGCAUCCAAAUGAAUCUUUCCCUGGGGAAGGAAAUAUUUUAUUUUCCCUCCAAGGCCACAAGAAGCCAGGAACAUGAAGAGGAGCUGACAGAAGGCAGUUUUUAUCUCAGGGAGAGCUGCUUUUUCCUGACAGUGGUGCUGGAGUGACCCUUGUGUUUGGUUCUGUCAUUAAGGAUUGAUGUACUUGUGUAUGGCUUCCCAGAGAAGCAUUUAUGCUUUGUGAUUGAUUCCCUGUGAGGAUUAGAAUAGCACUUUGCAAGUGCCCAUUCAAUACUCAUUUGUUAAGCAAUAGUAAAAUACAAUAAAUGGAUAACUGUAGCAGCCCAGCCGUGCAAAGCCAAUGUUCCCUAUCUAUCUUUCAACUUUGGGUGGUGCAGUAUACAAGUGACACAACAGGGCACAUGUUAU